UAUCUCUUUGCUCCUUUUGAGGUGGUUUUAGCAUUAUCUCGAAAUAAGGCGUCGUGGCGGUUAAGUUUUGGAGCACAUUUUUGUUUAGUUUGAGAGAGAGAGAGAGAGAGUAGAGAGAAGCAGAGAAGAGGUGCACGAGAAUUAUGGCGGAGAUUCAGCGCAGUGACGAAGUUGUGUCGGUGGAGCUCCCAGCUCCUGCUUCCUGGAAGAAAUUGGUACUCUUAGUAGCUAUUUUGCUUAAUGUUGACUUUCGUAGAGCUCAA